rfam:Pteropus alecto contig59864, whole genome shotgun sequence.
GUCUGCGGCCACGCCACCCUGAACACGCCCCAUCCCGACUGAUCUGGGAAGCUAAGAGGGUCGGGCCUGGUUAGUCCUUGGAUGGGAGACCACCUAGGAAGACCAGGUGCCGUAGGCG